AGCUCCAAUAGCGUAUAUUAAAGUUGUUGCAGUUAAAAAGCUCGUAGUUGAAUUUGUGGUGUACCAAGUGUUCCCAGCACUUGUUGUUGGUGAAAGACUUGGUUGCCAUCCUUGGGUGGAAUCUGUGUGGCAUUAGGUUGUCGUGCAGGGGACGCCCAUCUUUUACUGUGAAAAAAUUAGAGUGUUCAAAGCAGGCUUAUGCCGUUGAAUAUAUUAGCAUGGAAUAAUGAGAUAGGACCUUGGUACUAUUUUGUUGGUUUGCGCACCGAGGUAAUGAUUAAUAGGGACAGUUGGGGGUAUUCGUAUUCCAUUGUCAGAGGUGAAAUUCUUGGAUUUUUGGAAGACGAACUACUGCGAAAGCAUUUACCAAGGAUGUUUUCAUUAAUCAAGAACGAAAGUA
rnacentral:rRNA from 1 species